rnacentral:lncRNA from 1 species
AGACCCUCUGAACCCCUGAAGUGACAAACGUUUGCUAUCCAAAAACCUCCUACUCUUUUUCUCUCAGCAUACCCAGCUCUCUCUCUUCUUCAUAGGAUUUCGAUCUCCGUACAGUGCAUCCACAGAGAAACCAAGCCACGCAACCACUAUUCACGAGGCUUCUUGCAUCUCUGUUCACAAAAAACCACCACCAUAACAAGAACACACUGUUCCCAGGCCUUUAUAGG